CCCUUAGAUGUUCUGGGCAGCACGCGCGCUACAAUGGUCUUCGCAAACGGAUGUAUUCUCGAAGGAGAAUGCCAAUCUUGGAAUCUACGCCUUGGUCGGGACAGUUGCUUGCAAUUUUUCGACUCGAACCAGGAAUUCCUUGUAAUCGUGAUUCAUCACAUCACGAUGAAUACGUCCCUGCCCUUUGUACACACCGCCCGUCGCUCCUACCGAUCGAAGAGUUAGGUGAAUUGUUUUGAUCGAUAAGAUUUGACUAUGGUCAACUCUCGUUGUGAAAUUCUGUGAAUCUGACUGUUUAGAGGAAGGAAAAGUCGUAACA
rnacentral:rRNA from 1 species